AUAAAUUAAAGAGCCGCGGUAUAUUGACCGUGCAAAGGUAGCAUAAUCAUUAGUUUUUUAAUUGGGAACUUGUAUGAAUGGUUGGACAAGAGAAAAGCUGUCUAUAUUAUAAAUUUUGAAUUUAACUUUUAAGUGAAAAGGCUUAAAUAAUUUAAGGGGACGAUAAGACCCUAUAAAACAUUUUAUUGGGGCGAUAAAGGUAUAAAUAUUAACUGUUUAGAAUAAAAACAAUAGUUUUUGAAAUGAUCCUUUGCUAAAGAAUAAAAGACUAAGUUACUUUAGGGAUAACAGCGUAAUUUUUUUUAAGAGUUCAUAUCGAAAAAGAAGAUUGCGACCUCGAUGUUGAAUUAAAAUGUCUGUUUAGGGCAGCUCCUAAACGAGAAGAUCUGUUCGAUCUUUAAAUUUUU
rnacentral:rRNA from 1 species